rnacentral:lncRNA from 10 species
CUCCUGCUUGGCCGGGGGCCCUCCCCAGAGAAAUGUGCGGUUAAGCAGGGGUACCACACAUCCCAGUGGGUAGAGCCCUUGGGACUGUGAGUUUGGGUCCCCUGGGCCUAUGUGACCCUGGAGGAGGAACUCCAUCAAUGGUGUCUCCCUGCGCUGGGAGGAUUAUUCCCGCUUCUAAGAGGCGUAUCUGAGUGGAGUGGGCCUGGCAACUAAGCGUCCAUUCAUCCUAAGCUCGCCUUUGGGAAGAGUUGUGUGCCAGUUCACCAAGUGGCCCCAAGAUUCUCCCAAAUACUUCCCUUGGUCUACCUGGCAGAAGUCCUCCGAGAAUUGGGGCCACCUGGGCUGUGGCCCCAGAAGCAGGUGGCCGGGAGGCUCUAGGGAUGGCGGGGGCAGGUGAGGGGAGACUGGUGGGCUCCGGAAGGCUUCUCAGCGCGGAGCUCCAGCUGCGGGGAGGCGCGGCCCCUCCCGGAUGCCGGGACGAGGGAGGGGAAGGGAGGGGAAGAGGCGGGGUAGGUAGGGGCGGGGGGCGCGGCAGCGGCAGCGCGCAUGCCCGGGCCCGGGGCGCCUGGACCUCGGGAGGGAGCGGAGGGCGCCUACCUGCAGGCCG